rnacentral:rRNA from 1 species
UGAUGACGAGACGCUAAGGCGUUGAAGUGGUGUAUGUCAGACUUCCAAGAAAAGCUCGCAAUGUCAUAGAUAAAAAAUGCCUGUACCAUAACCGACACAGGUGGGUAGGUAGAGUAUACUAAGGGGCGCGAGAUAACUCUCUCUAAGGAACUCGGCAAAAUGACUCCGUAACUUCGGGAGAAGGAGUGCCUUAUUUAUAAGGUUGCAAUAACAAGAUCCAAGCAACUGUUUAUCAAAAACACAGGUCUCCGCUAAGUCGUAAGACGAUGUAUGGGGGCUGACGCCUGCCCAGUGCCAGAAGGUUAAAGAAGUUGGUUAGUGUAAGCGAAGCUGAUAACUGAAGCCCUGGUGAACGGCGGCCGUAACAAUAACGGUCCUAAGGUAGCGAAAUUCCUUGUCGGGUAAGUUCCGACCCGCACGAAAGGCGUAAUGAUUUGGAUACUGUCUCGGAGAGAGGCUCGGUGAAAUAGACUUGUCUGUGAAGAUGCGGACUACCUGCACCAGGACAGAAAGACCCUAUGAAGCUUUACUGUAACUUGAAAUUGGAAUUGGACUUUGCUUGCGCAGUAUAGGUGGGAAGCGUUGAAGAUACUCUUGCGGGACUAUUGGAGCUAUCAGUGAGAUACCACUCUUGUAAUGUUAGAUUUCUAACUUUGAACCAUAAUCUGGUCAAAGAACAGUUUCAGGCGGGCAGUUUGACUGGGGCGGUCGCCUCCUAAAUGGUAACGGAGGCGUACAAAGGUUUCCUCUGAACGGAUAGAAAUCGUAUCUAGAGUGUAAAGGCAUAAGGAAGCUUGACUGUGAGACCUACAAGUCGAGCAGGGACGAAAGUCGGUCUUAGUGAUCUGACGGUACUGAGUGGAAAGGCCGUCACUCAACGGAUAAAAGUCACUCUAGGAUAACAGGCUGAUCUCCCCCAAGAGUUCACAUCGACGGGGAGGUUUGGCACCUCGAUGUCGGCUCAUCGCAUCCUGGGGCGGUAGUACGUCCCAAGGGUUGGGCUGUUCGCCCAUGAAAGCGGUACGCGAGCUGGGUUCAGAACGUCGUGAGACAGUUCGGUCCAUAUCCGGUGUAGGCUUUAGAAUAUUGAGAGGAGCCUUCUUUAGUACGAGAGGACCGAGAAGGACACACCGCUGGUGUACCAGUUAUCGUGCCAACGGUAAACGCUGGGUAGCUAUGUGUGGAGAGGAUAACCGCUGAAAGCAUCUAAGUGGGAAGCCCACCUCAAGAUGAGUAUUCUCAUC